GUAGUUAGCCGGAGCUUCCUCCUUGGGUACCGUCAUUUGUUUCGUCCCCAAGGACAGAGGUUUACAAUCCGAAAACCUUCUUCCCUCACGCGGCGUUGCUGGGUCAGGGUUUCCCCCAUUGCCCAAUAUUCCCCACUGCUGCCUCCCGUAGGAGUUUGGACCGUGUCUCAGUUCCAAUGUGGCCGAUCACCCUCUCAGGUCGGCUACCCAUCGUAGGUUUGGUGGGCCGUUACCUCACCAACUGCCUAAUGGGACGCGAGCUCAUCCAUAAGCGAUAAAUCUUUGACCUCUUUGCCAUGCGACAUUGUGGUCUUAUGCGGUAUUAGCAGCCGUUUCCAGCUGUUGUCCCCCUCUUAUGGGCAGAUUGCUCACGCGUUACUCACCCGUCCGCCACUAAGUCAAUUCGUCUUCCACCCGAGGGCUUCCGUCAAAUUGCUUCGUUCGACUUGCAUGUGUUAAGCACGCCGCCAGCGUUCGUCCUGAGCCAGGAUCAAACUCUGA
rnacentral:rRNA from 1 species